rnacentral:rRNA from 1 species
UAGAGAAUUAAUAAGGGUAUAUGGUGGAUGCCUUGACACAAAGUGGCGAUGAAGGACGUGGCGUAGCUGCGAUAAGCCUCGGUGAGGUGCCUAGCAACCUUUGACCCGGGGAUUUCCGAAUAGGGAAACCUAUUUGCAUAAAAUGCAAAUGAUUCCAAAUAUAAAUUUUGGAAUAGCAGACCCGCUGAAGUGAAACAUCUCAGUAAGCGGAGGAACAAAAAAAAGAUUUUUAUUCCCUGAGUAGCGGCGAGCGAAACGGGAAGAGCCUAAAUUUGUUAAAAUUUUCGCAAGAAGAUUUUAAUGAACGUUGCAAGAUGGAAAUUUUUCUUAAGUUUUAAAGCUUGAAACUUAAGAUAAGAGUUACAAAUUUGUUGGCUAGUCGAAACCGUUGGAAAGCGGUGCCAAAGAGAGUGAUAGCCUCGUAGACAAAAGUCGGCAAACUCUUAGUUUUUCAUUCUUAAGUACUCCGAGGCCAGACAACCUCGGAGGAAUCCAGGAGUACUAUCUCCUAAGGCUAAAUACACUUUGUGAUCGAUAGUGAACAAGUACCGUGAGGGAAAGGUGAAAAAUAGGCCGUUGAGGCCGGUGAAAUAGAAUCUGAAACCAUAUACUUACAAGGACUCGGAGCCUUACAAUUUCGCAAGAAAUAACGGGUGACGAGGUGCCUAUUGAAGAAUGAGCCAACGACUUUAUUUGCAUUGCAAGUUUAACCUCGCGAAGCGAGGGAAGCGAAGGGAAACCAAGUGUUAAUAGCGCUAAUAGCAGUGCGAGUAAGACCCGAAGCCAAGCGAGCUUGUCCUGGUCAGGAUGAAGGCCGAAGAAAUUCGGCUGGAGGUCCGAACCGGUGAGCCGUUCAACACUCUCGGAUGAACUGGGAUAAGAAGUGAAAAGCUAAUCGAGCUUGGUAAUAGCUGGUUCUCUCCAAAAUAGUUUUAGGACUAGCGUCGGAUAAAUAGAUUUCUGGGGGUAGAGCACUGGAUGAUUUGUAAAGGACGAAAGUUCGACAAAUCAAUCAAACUCCGAAUACCAGAUUUUGUUCUCCGGCAGUCAGACUACGGGGGCUAAGCUCCGUGGUCGCGAGGGAAAAAGCCCUGACCGCCGUCUAAGGUCCCAAAAUGUAUGCUAAGUGUUAAAGAAAGUCUCCAACCAGAGACAAAUAGGAGGUUGGCUUAGAGGUAGCCAUCCUUUAAAGAGUGUGUAACAACUCACUAUCCGAUGGUUGGGGGCGUCUAAAAUUUAUCGGGGCUAAGCAUACUACCGAAGACGCGGAUUCGUUUUUUGUUUACAAAAAACGAGUGAUAGGAGAGCAUUUCCAGCCGCUGUGAAGGUUGACCCGCGAGGGCGACUGGAGCGCUGGGAAGAGAGAAUGUUGGCAUGAGUAAUCACAAAUCAGAUGAGAAAUCUGAUCCCCGAAAAUCCAAGGUUUCCUCCGCAACGAAAAUCGACGGAGGGUUAGGCGGCCCUAAGGCAAUGGCGAAAGCCGCAGCUGAAGGACAGUCGGUUGAUAUUCCGACCUGCCCAUUAAUUAUCGAUGGAGUGACAAAGAAAAUAAAAUCGCGCGCCUUAAUGGUUUGGCGUCAUUAAUAAUAAGAUUGGGCAUCCAGGAAAAUCCGGGUGCAAGCCUUUAGUGGCACCCAAUCGUUUAUCGAAGUAAGGCUAAGUUUUUACUUGGCUAAUGCGAUUGAAGAGUCUUUCAAGAAAACCUUCUAAGAGUUAUGUUAAUGGGCUCCGUACCGUAAACCGCCACAGGUGGGUGAGGCGAGGAGCCUCAGGGGAACGGGUAAUUCUUCGUUAAGGAACUCGGCAAAAAAGCAGACGUAAGUUCGCAAUAUGUCUUGGCUGACGCAAGUCAGCCCGCAGCGAAAGAAUCUCUGGCGACUGUUUACCAAAAACACAGCUCCCUGCUAACUCGUAAGAGGAUGUAUAGGGGGUGACGCCUGACCGAUGCGAGAAGGUUAACGGCGGGAGUGCUCUGACGCAAGUUGGAGUGCCCACUGCCCGAAGCCCUCGUCAAUGUCCGCAGUAACUAUAACUGUGUUAAAGUAGCGCAAUUCCUUUUCAGGUAAGUUCUGAAGCGCACGAAUGGCGUAACGAUCGGAGAACUGUCUCAACGAAGAGCCCGAUGAAAAUGCGAUUCCCGUGAAGACGCGGGGUACUGGCAGUAAGACGAAAAGACCCCGGGAGCUUUACUGCAGCUUGAUAUUGUUUUUAGAACUUUAAUGCGUAGUGUAGUGGGUAGGCUUUGAAGUUUCGCUUUCGGGCGGAAUGGAGCCGACAAUGAAACACCCAUCUUUCGAGUUUUAAAAUCUAAUCUGAACGGCAAAAACGUUCGGAGACACUGUCUGGCGGGCAGUUUUAAUGGGGCGUUAUCCUCCUAAAGAGUAACGGAGGAGUUUAUUAAGGUCGGCUUAGCCCGGAUGGAAAUCGGGCUGGACGCGUAAAGGCAAAAGCCGGCUUAACUGCAAGACUGACAAGUCGCGCAGAUGCGAAAGCAGAACUUAGUGACCCGACGAUUCUUUAUAGAAAGGUCGGAGACACCGGAUAAAAGCUACCCCGGGGAUAACAGGCUGGUGGAGCCCGAGAGUCCAUAUCGACGGCUCCGCUCGGCACCUCGAUGUCGGCUCACCCUAUCCUGGGACUGAAGAAGGCCCCAAGGGUUUGGCUGUUCGCCAAUUAAAAGGGUACGCGAGCUGGGUUCAAACCGUUGAGUUCAUAAACAUAAUUACGGUAAUUGCCGUAAUUACAGUAAUUACUGUAAUUUUUAUGAAUUGAACGGUUUGAAUCCGAGGAUUAUGACAUCAAUCACGGCGGUUAUAGAAAGUAAUUUCUAUAUUCCAAUAGUUUAAUUAAUUUAGCUAACUAAUAUCGGUGGAACCCUAAUUGAUGAUUAGGGCAAUACCGAGGGAAUUCUUUAUAAAUUAAAGAAGCCCGUAGAGACUAAGCGUUAGCCUCCGCCAAAAUUUUGUAAAAAAAUGGGCGGAUGAAGAUAUAGUCCAAUACACUUAGUAAUAAGUGACCAAUAUGCGUGAGACAGGUUGGUCUCUAUCUACUGUCAGCGAUGAAUACUUGAGGGAAGUCGACUCUAGUAAACAAAAUUUGCUACUUUCCGAAGUAAUUCGGAUUGAAAAUUCGGCUAAUAACGGUGAAAUCUUACCAUUUAAUUAUUACAAUCGGUCUUGUGAUAAUUUACUUGAGGACCAAGAAAUGCUAAGAUAAUACCGUGGGAAGUCAAUCUAAAAUCAACUUAGCUUAUAUAGCUGGAUUUCUUGAUGGCGAUGGAAGCUUAAUGCUUCAAAUCAAAAAACGUAAAGAGGGGAAUAUAUCCAAGAGGCGUUUCAUGCUAACGAUUUGUUUUUAUCAAGAUUCGCGCCAUGAUAAGCCCCUUUUAUGGAUUAGAAAAAUUUUGGGAAUAGGUUAUCUUUCCAAAAGAAAAGACGGAAUGUCGGAAUUAAGAAUCAAUGGCUUCCGCCAAACGGAAAAGAUAAUCAAAUCUCUGUCGCCGUUCAUUAAAUUCAAGAAAGUCCAAGCUAAAAUUCUUUUGGCAUCGGCGAAGUUGCUUCAAAAAAGCAAACUAACCGGUAACGAAUUAAAGAGAUUGGUUGAUAAUAUUCUGAAAAUUCAAUCAGAAAAUUACACAACUAAAAGAAAGAAAACCAAAAGAGAAUUGCUAAAAAAUUUAGGUUUGACCCCGUAACGACUGAAUUCCGCCGAUUGGCGGAUGAAGAUAAUAUCAAUUUUGAUAUUAUAAUACGCCGGCCCCGCUAAAAUUUUAUUUUUGUAAAAAUUUAGGCGGGUGAAGAUAUAGUCUGCGCACAUAGUGAUAUGUGAAUUCGUGACGAGAGGACCGAGUUGAACGAACCUCUGGUCUACCGGCUUCAGCACCUGCUGAACCGCCGGGUAGCUAUGUUCGGCCGGGAUAAGCGUUGAAAGCAUCUAAACGCGAAGCCCCUCCCAAGAUUAAGUAUCACUAAAUAAUUUAUUAUUUAGGUGGUCCCCAGAAGAUUACUGGGUUGAUAGGCCUUAGGUGUAAGCUCCGUAAGGAGUUCAGCCGAGAGGUACUAAUAGACCAUCUAUUCUCUACC